GAUGAACGCUGGCGGCGUGCCUAAUACAUGCAAGUCGAGCGAACAGACGAGGAGCUUGCUCCUCUGACGUUAGCGGCGGACGGGUGAGUAACACGUGGAUAACCUACCUAUAAGACUGGGAUAACUUCGGGAAACCGGAGCUAAUACCGGAUAAUAUAUUGAACCGCAUGGUUCAAUAGUGAAAGACGGUUUUGCUGUCACUUAUAGAUGGAUCCGCGCCGCAUUAGCUAGUUGGUAAGGUAACGGCUUACCAAGGCAACGAUGCGUAGCCGACCUGAGAGGGUGAUCGGCCAGACUGGAACUGAGACACGGUCCAGACUCCUACGGGAGGAAGCAGUAGGGAAUCUUCCGCAAUGGGCGAAAGCCUGACGGAGCAACGCCGCGUGAGUGAUGAAGGUCUUCGGAUCGUAAAACUCUGUUAUUAGGGAAGAACAAAUGUGUAAGUAACUAUGCACGUCUUGACGGUACCUAAUCAGAAAGCCACGGCUAACUACGUG
rnacentral:rRNA from 1 species